GCUGGUGCACGUGAUGACUGAAGCUUUUUUCCCCAUCAGAGCGACAGUGUUGAUUUCGCUACUCUAAGCCAGAUUGUGUCUGAUGCACCAGU
ensembl:snoRNA